rnacentral:rRNA from 1 species
UACGUAGGCAGCAAGCGUUUGUUCGGAAUUACUGGGCGUAAAGAGUGUGUAGGUGGUGUCGUAAGUUUGGUGUGAAAUCUCCCGGCUUAACUGGGAGGGUGCGCCGAAGACUGCGAUGCUGGAGUAUGGGAGAGGAAAGCGGAAUUCCUGGUGUAGCGGUGAAAUGCGUAGAUAUCAGGAGGAACACCUGCGGUGUAGACGGCUUUCUGGACCAUUACUGACACUGAGACACGAAAGCGUGGGUAGCAAACAGG